UCAGGUGAUCCACCCACCUCGGCCUCCCAAAGUGCUAGGAUUAUAGGCGUGAGCCACCGCGCCCAGCCAGAAUAUAGUUUAUUCUUUAAGUGUAUGGUGUGUACACUUGCCUGGUCCUGUUUAUAAUUUGGUAUCUUAUUGCCACAGAGUCUAUUCUGUCAGUCUUCUGAUCUCUAUUUUAAGAUUAAUGCUGGUCAGUUGUGUGUAAACUACAAAAGUGAGGGAGUAGAAUCAGGUGUGUCUGACCUCCCAUUCCCAUCAUGGCUGGGAACUCAAGUUUCCCGCAGAAACCACAUUACCGUCUCAGGCCCACAGUUCCCCCUCGAACCCUCUGCCUUCUGACUGACCCUGGGCUUCCCUGUGGCCUCACGGUGUGGUGUGACAUGCCCCUUUCUCUUGGAAACUGAGGAUGACAAACCAUCUUGUCAAUGGCAGUGGUCUGAUCCUUCCUACACCUGAGUGAUAAUAAAGCCUCCAUUGAACACAGCCCUGGCCUCGUCUCCGCCAAGCCAGCUCACAGUGGUCCAGGCACCGGACUGCCCUUCACCUGCCCAGCCCGUCUCCCGAUGGUCCCCGUGUCAGCCAGCAACGUCCCCACCUAGGAGCCAGCAAGCCUGACCCGCAAAGCGCUCCCAGGACCUGGUCACUUGGCAACUUACCCAAGCUGUGCCCCCCAUACCCACAGUUUCUCUGAGGCUGAGGCCAUCUGCUGCCUCUCCAUCUCCCCAAGAUCCCAGCACCGAGCCAAGAGCCCCAUAAACGCUAAUGAGAACGCAAACAAACUCCCUCCAUGCAGCCCCAUCGUGUUGUGGGAACUGUCUGCUCUGGUCUCCACACUGCACUGCGGGCCUCACAGGUCCUGCCCCACCAUGUCCUGAAGAGCACAGGGCACCCAGCCUGUGCCACACCCCAUAGGACUGACCAUCAUACCUUCCCAGGGUCGGGAGGUGCCCACUGUGCAGUUGUGGAAACUGAGACUC
rnacentral:lncRNA from 10 species